GUUGCUGUUAAGAGGCAGCUUUUGCGCGUUUGUGCGAUGUACUGCUCCAUCCGGCCCUGGCCGUAGCGUCGUUUGGUCGGUCGGUUCAUGACGGGGUCGGAGCAGGGCCGUGGUGGAGUCCGCCUCGGACUAGUUCCAUGGUCGAAUCUAGCUCUACGUACGUAGUGUAAUAAGUUGCGAGCCAAGACCCAUCCAAGAUCCAACCCAUCGCGUUACUUUGGCAGGGCUGGCGUUUCCGUCCACGUACGGGGCCGGAGAUCGUCGCCGCAAACAGGAGAGCCGGCGUAUGGCGGCCGCGGCCGCGACGGGGGCUUUGCGUCGGGUGCUGGUGCCGGCGAUCAGGCGGCGACUGACUACCGGUACCGGGCAGCCCCUCAUCUCCUUCACCGGCGCCCGCGCCGGCACAACCAAGGCUCAUCAGGCGGAGGUUGCUGCGCGUCGGCUGCUAAGAAAGCAUGCCCUCUUUCCCAGUCAUCGGCCAACACUUUAGGCUGAAUCUAGGAAGCAUACAUGCAAUCGUUUAACAAAUAAUGGUGUUACUCUUCCUUGUGCAGGCAAAAACUGUGGCAAGAUGGGCUGAGCGGUAUGGUUGAUGAGGUCGGGAUGUGGUUGAUCAUCACGUCACCCUUUACGUUCAUGUACUGUUGGUCCCUUCUCAGAAGGGACGGUAAGCCUGAGGAUUGCUCUCAUCAAACUGGCUCCAGCCAGGCAAAAUCUGUAUAUGAGAGCUAGCUAGGUGAGCUUGAACUCGGGCUCGAAUAGGUAGCGGUUUAAGAAAAAGUACCGUGGUUGGUGUUAGACAGAUAGAUAGAAUUCAGUUUCCACUUGAUCUAUCCUUUCAGCUGUAAACCUCCUGUAUCUCAAUCCGCUGUAACCAAACGUAUCCAUGCUCUCGUUCCAACUUGUAUGCCACGGCUUGCUUGAUAUAUAUACACCACGCGAUUCA